GAUUUGAACUUCCAUUUGAUCAAUACUAUUGGAUUUAGCGGGUUGAUGAAAUGUACAUUUCAUCCCUCAAGAUGAAUGGAUAGUAUUGAUCAUAUGAAUUUUCUCUGUGAUCAAUUUGGAUUUCUAUUUCCCCUCCCCUCUUCAUAUUCAUCCUUAUUCUUUUCCAGUCCAUCAUUGACCAGUUAUUUCUCUACUGUCCAAAUGCUAGUUGAUUCAUCAAUGACCUUGUGUCAGAUAAAUCAACAUGAGCUGGAUUGAGAUAGGUUCAUCCCAUCUUUAUCUUUGUGUGUGGUAUGUUUUAGGAGUUUGGUUCUUUGUACCAAGUAUCUAACAUGCAUUAGCACCAAUAUUUUUAUUGCCCG
rnacentral:lncRNA from 1 species